AUUGAACGCUAGCGGGAUGCCUUACACAUGCAAGUCGAACGGCAGCACGGACUUCGGUCUGGUGGCGAGUGGCGAACGGGUGAGUAAUGUAUCGGAACGUGCCCAGUAGCGGGGGAUAACUACGCGAAAGCGUAGCUAAUACCGCAUACGCCCUACGGGGGAAAGCAGGGGAUCGUAAGACCUUGCACUAUUGGAGCGGCCGAUAUCGGAUUAGCUAGUUGGUGGGGUAACGGCUCACCAAGGCGACGAUCCGUAGCUGGUUUGAGAGGACGACCAGCCACACUGGGACUGAGACACGGCCCAGACUCCUACGGGAGGCAGCAGUGGGGAAUUUUGGACAAUGGGGGAAACCCUGAUCCAGCCAUCCCGCGUGUGCGAUGAAGGCCUUCGGGUUGUAAAGCACUUUUGGCAGGAAAGAAACGUCAUGGGUUAAUACCCCGUGAAACUGACGGUACCUGCAGAAUAAGCACCGGCUAACUACGUGCCAGCCGCCGCCGUAAAAC
rnacentral:rRNA from 1 species